rnacentral:rRNA from 1 species
ACAUCGGAACGUGCCCGAUCGUGGGGGAUAACGAGGCGAAAGCUUUGCUAAUACCGCAUACGAUCUACGGAUGAAAGCGGGGGAUCUUCGGACCUCGCGCGGACGGAGCGGCCGAUGGCAGAUUAGGUAGUUGGUGGGAUAAAAGCUUACCAAGCCGACGAUCUGUAGCUGGUCUGAGAGGAUGAUCAGCCACACUGGGACUGAGACACGGCCCAGACUCCUACGGGAGGCAGCAGUGGGGAAUUUUGGACAAUGGGCGAAAGCCUGAUCCAGCCAUGCCGCGUGCAGGAUGAAGGCCUUCGGGUUGUAAACUGCUUUUGUACGGAACGAAAAGCCUCUUUCUAAUAAAGAGGGGUCAUGACGGUACCGUAAGAAUAAGCACCGGCUAACUACGUGCCAGCAGCCGCGGUAAUACGUAGGGUGCAAGCGUUAAUCGGAAUACUGGGCGUAAAGCGUGCGCAGGCGGUUUUGUAAGACAGAGGUGAAUCCCCGGGCUCAACCUGGGAACUGCCUUUGUGACUGCAAGGCUGGAGUGCGGCAGAGGGGGAUGGAAUUCCGCGUGUAGCAGUGAAAUGCGUAGAUAUGCGGAGGAACACCGAUGGCGAAGGCAAUCCCUGGGCCUGCACUGACGCUCAUGCACGAAAGCGUGGGGAGCAAACAGGAUUAGAUACCUGGUAGUCCACGCCCUAAA